rnacentral:rRNA from 1 species
CCGCGGUAAUACGGAGGGAGCUAGCGUUGUUCGGAAUUACUGGGAGUAAAGCGCGCGUAGGCGGUUUUUUAAGUCAGAGGUGAAAGCCCGGGGCUCAACCCCGGAAUUGCCUUUGAAACUAGGUAGCUAGAAUCUUGGAGAGGUCAGUGGAAUUCCGAGUGUAGAGGUGAAAUUCGUAGAUAUUCGGAAGAACACCAGUGGCGAAGGCGACUGACUGGACAAGUAUUGACGCUGAGGUACGAAAGCGUGGGGAGCAAACAGG